rnacentral:rRNA from 1 species
AAACAGGUUAAUAUUCCUGUACUUGGUGUUACUGCGAAGGGGGGACGGAGAAGGCUAUGUUAGCCGGGCGACGGUUGUCCCGGUUUAAGCAUGUAGGCGGAGGUUCCAGGUAAAUCCGGUACCUUUUUAACGCUGAGGUGUGAUGACGAGGCACUACGGUGCUGAAGUAACAAAUGCCCUGCUUCCAGGAAAAGCCUCUAAGCAUCAGGUAACA